AUUGGGCCUGGGCCUUAGGCUUUGGACAGGGUCCAGGUUCCAAGAGCAUACGCAGAACACGGCUCCGCCUUAAGUUAUGACAGCAGAGAGCAGCUUCUUGGUAAGGGUAACUCCUUGCUUCCAGUGUGCCAAACAAAAGGCACCAUUUUAUACUAGAUUGAAAUGGAUAACCACAUUCUUGAAGAGCUGCAAAAGGCACGCAAUCUUGUUGUGAGCCUUGCCAGGGAGAUUGAUUUCAAAAACCAGAAGUUGUUGGAAAUGGAGAAGAAGUGUGAUGGGACAUCAGCAUCUCUAAAUGUGAUGAUGAAGGAGAAUGACAGACUGCAGCAAGCACGUGUUGAAGGUAUAAAGAAGAUGCAGAUUGUCAAUGCAUGUAACAAGACACUGCAGCAGAAAUUAGACUUUCAAAGGAAUGAAUUUGAGCAGAAAAUUAAAGAACUCGAGAAGCAAGUAGCUCAACAUGACCUUGAGCAGAAAAAUUUGAUCCUUCAGAGGGAAGAGCUGACUGAUGAUUUGAGAAAAGAAUUAGCAGAAAAAGUAGAAGAAUUACAGUGCAUGGACAAUCUUAACCAAAUGCUUAUCGUCAAAGAGCGCACGAGUAAUUUUGAGCUGCAAGAAGCUCGAAAGGAAUUAUUAAGUGGAUUGCAAGAUUUUAUGGAUGGUGAAAUUACUAUUGGAGUCAAGAGGAUGGGAGAGAUUGAUAUCAAACCUUUUGAAGAUAUCUGCUUGCAGAAGUUCUCUAGAGAUUAUGAGGAGAAAUUGAUGCAGAUAUGCUCAUUGUGGCAACACUAUAUCAGCAAUCCAAAUUGGCAUCCCUUCAAGAACGAGUUUGUAGAUGGGAAAUUGCAAGAAGUAAUAGACAAAGAUGACACAAAGCUGAAGGAGUUGAGAGAACUGUGGGGCGAUGCACCAUACAAAGCCAUAGCUGAUUCACUAAUGGAAUUGAACGAAUACAAUCCAAGUGGGAGGUAUGUAGUUCCUGAACUCUGGAACUAUGAAGAAGGAAGAAAAGCCAGUCUACAAGAGGUAAUCAAGUAUAUGAUUCGAGAGUUGAAGAGUUACAAAUCUCUCAAGCGUAAAAAGCGAUGUAGCUGCCAUUAGAAUCUAGUAUUACAGAGUUUGUAUUUAUCAGUUAGGCUUAUAGGAGGAUUAUGCUGUCCUGUCAAGUAACUCAAUAAUUAAACUUGGCUGUGAAUGUACUAGAACUGAGCUUAAUCUGAAUUGAAAUUUGAAAGGGAAAAAAAAAAAGAAGGAA
rnacentral:misc_RNA from 1 species